UACGUAGGGGGCAAGCGUUGUCCGGAUUUAUUGGGCGUAAAGAGCGUGUAGGCGGCCAGACAGGUCCGUUGUGAAAACUCGAGGCUCAACCUCGAGACGCCGAUGGAAACCGUUUGGCUAGAGUCCGGAAGAGGAGAGUGGAAUUCCUGGUGUAGCGGUGAAAUGCGCUGAUAUCAGGAAGAACACCCGUGGCUAAGGCGGCUCUCUAGUACGGUACUGACGCUGAGACGCGAAAGCGUGGGGAGCGAACAGG
rnacentral:rRNA from 1 species